rnacentral:rRNA from 1 species
AUGGCUCAGGAUGAACGCUAGCGGCAGGCUUAACACAUGCAAGUCGAGGGGCAUCGGGAGUAGCAAUACUUGCCGGCGACCGGCGCAAGGGUGCGUAACGCGUGAGCAACAUGCCCGUAUCAGGGGGAUAAUCCAUGGAAACGUGGUCUAAUACCCCAUAGUAAUUAUGUAAGGCAUCUUAUAUAAUUUAAAGCUUUGGUGGAUACGGAUUGGCUCGCGUGACAUUAGCUGGAUGGUAAGGUAACGGCUUACCAUGGCUACGAUGUCUAGGGGUUCUGAGAGGAAGGUCCCCCACACUGGAACUGAGACACGGUCCAGACUCCUACGGGAGGCAGCAGUGAGGAAUAUUGGACAAUGGAUGGAAAUCUGAUCCAGCCAUGCCGCGUGCAGGAAAGACGGCCCUAUGGGUUGUAAACUGCUUUUGUAUGGGAGCAAUAAGGGCUACGUGUAGUCCGAUGAGAGUACCAUACGAAUAAGCACCGGCUAACUCCGUGCCAGCAGCCGC